rnacentral:tRNA from 1 species
GAGCCCGUAGCUCAACGGGAUAGAGCAGCGGCCUCCUAAGCCGUCGAUGCAGGUUCGAGUCCUGCCGGGCUCA